GCGAGGCUAGCUGUAAAAAUAAUGAUGAUAAAAAGUUUUAAUACCCUUUUCUAUUUUAUUUUUGCGCAAAAAUGGUAUCUAUUUUAAUAAUCAUGUGUCUAAUUGUAUCUAAUCUUUAGUCUCACAAUUUUAAUUCAGCAUGAUCGAACCAAAGAUGCACAACCAAUAGGAGGGUUGAUACAGUGGUAGAGAUUACAUUAUAACUUUUUACGUGAAUUAUGUUAGAAAAAAAAUAAUCUCCUUUCUAAGAUAAUAUGAGGAAGAAAUUCUAAAAAUUAUCAAAUAAUAAUAAUAUUGUUAUUCCUACCUUCUCCACUCACAUUCCUCCAAGAACCUACCUACCCUUCUACCUCCCAUAAUCCUACCAACUUCAGAGCACCAUCCAUAAUCUGUUCAUUCAUUCCCCAACACUUUGAAUAUGCAGAUACAUCUUCGUUGUACAUGUCAGCAACAGGUUCUCAUAUGUCUGUCUUUGUUAUGUGCUUAUAAAAGAUAAAAAAUAAACAAUAAAAGAAGCAAGUGAAAGAUUGUUUUAAUGUUUCAGAAUAUUUAUUAAUUAUUUCUUUUUUUAUUUCUAAUCUUAUGGUUGUGGGGGAAGUUAUUACUAUAGUUAACUCACUAACUUCUUGAUGAUAAGAACCACCAUGAAGUUAUUGUUCACAGACCUUUGCACAGUCUAAGGAAAGAUGUCACAACUAUUGGGGCUGGGGGGGAGAAUUGCUACUUUAUCCAGAGGCACAGACCACAGUUUUACUGUCAGCAAUACAGCACACAAUUAAGAAUGGAUUCAAAUUCAAUAGAGUUGUCUAGAGAAACUACCAUAACAGAGUUGUGAUGGUAAAAUGGCCUUCAAAUGCAAGACAAUGAAAAGUAGUACAUAACAUGAGAAAGAAUUUCUCACCCUUUAAAGACUGCACCAUCCUCAGUUUCUUCACAUCAUAGACAGAAUCAUUUACACAGGCCAUGGUGGUACGGUUGAAGUCUCAGGUUUAUAUAUAACAUUGUUCCUAUGUUUGAGCCUAAAAUCUCAUCUACGAUUUACUAUGGUCAAUGCAUCUUUUCUGCUAGCUUAAUUUCAGUGGGAUCAACCAUUUAGGUCAGCUAGAUCCUGAUAUUGCAUAUAAUAAAUAAACAUUACUGCUGCAUCGACACUUGCCGCAUUAACUUG